UGCCAGCAGCCGCGGUAAUACGUAUGGUGCAAGCGUUGUUCGGAUUUACUGGGCGUAAAGAGCGCGCGGGCGGAUAAUUGAGUCGGGAGUGAAAACUAUGGGCUCAACCCAUAGCCUGCUUCCGAAACUGGUUAUCUGGAGUCCCGGAGAGGCAGGCGGAAUUUCAGGUGUAGCGGUGAAAUGCGUAGAUAUCUGAAGGAACACCAAUGGCGAAGGCAGCCUGCUGGACGAAGACUGACGCUGAGGCGCGAAAGCGUGGGGAGCGAACAGGAUUAGAUA
rnacentral:rRNA from 1 species